CGCCCUUCAGAGGGGGACAACAGUUGGAAACGACUGCUAAUACCGCAUACGAUUUAAUCUCGGCAUCGAGGAUAGAUGAAAGGUGGCCUCUACAUGUAAGCUAUCACUGAAGGAGGGGAUUGCGUCUGAUUAGCUAGUUGGAGGGGUAACGGCCCACCAAGGCGAUGAUCAGUAGCCGGUCUGAGAGGAUGAACGGCCACAUUGGGACUGAGACACGGCCCAG
rnacentral:rRNA from 1 species